rnacentral:rRNA from 1 species
GACGUAGGAUGCGAGCGUUGUCCGGAUUUAUUGGGCGUAAAGAGCGUGUAGGCGGCCAGGUAGGUCUGCUGUGAAAACUCGAGGCUCAACCUCGAGACGUCGGCGGAAACCAUCUGGCUGGAGUCCGGAAGAGGAGAGUGGAAUUCCUGGUGUAGCGGUGAAAUGCGCAGAUAUCAGGAAGAACACCCGUGGCGAAGGCGGCUCUCUGGGACGGUACUGACGCUGAGACGCGAAAGCGUGGGGAGCGAACAGG